rnacentral:rRNA from 1 species
UACAGAGGUGGCAAGCGUUGUUCGGAAUUACUGGGCGUAAAGGGCGCGUAGGCGGUUCGUUAAGUCCUGUGUGAAAUCCCCCGGCUCAACUGUUGAAAGCCGGUGGAUACUGUCGGGCUAGAGUACGGAAGAGGCGAGUGGAAUUCCUGGUGUAGCGGUGAAAUGCGCAGAUAUCAGGAGGAACACCAAUUGCGAAGGCAGCUCGCUGGGACGUUACUGACGCUGAGACGCGAAAGCGUGGGGAGCAAACAGG